rnacentral:misc_RNA from 1 species
AAAAUCAUCAAUAGAAAGUUUAAUACCAAUUGAUAACAUGAUUCCUCCAAGUGCAGGAGCAUACAAAUCUUUAGAAACCCAUGUGAAAGUUGAAGGGUGAGAAAGAGCAGCAACAGCAGUGAUGGCCACAACAAAAGGAAGCAAUGCAGAAAGUACUUGUGAAUAAUCCACCUUUUCAUCAUCUUCUGCUACAUAAAAGCUUUUCGGAUUAGCACCAAACGAAAGUAACGACAAGUUGCCUUCCCGUCUCUGCAAACCCACUCUCCCAGUUAACGGAGACGAAGUCAAACAUGCAACAGCGCAUCCAUUAAACCCUGGUAGAACUGGAUACCUUACAGAAAAAGUACUCUUACCAUGGAAAAUUGAAUUAGGGAUAGAAAGAAAAGGUUUUGGGUACUUGACGGAUAAAAAUGGAGUUGUUGACAUUCUGAGAAUCAAAGAAAUAGCUCUCCGGUGAAUAUAAUUUAUCCCGAUCGCCGGAAAAAAUUGACUGCUUCUCCGGCGAGGAGGA